UACGGAGGGGGCAAGCGUUAUUCGGAAUCAUUGGGCGUAAAGGGCGCGUAGGCGGCUUGGCAAGUCAAAGGUGAAAUCCCUCGGCCUAACCGAGGAACUGCCUUUGAAACUGCUUGGCUUGAGGCCGGGAGAGGGUAGCGGAAUUCCCAGUGUAGCGGUGAAAUGCGUAGAUAUCUGGAGGAACACCGGUGGCGAAGGCGGCAUCCUGGACCGGCAUUGACGCUGAGGCGCGAAAGCUAGGGGAGCAAACGGG
rnacentral:rRNA from 1 species